rnacentral:rRNA from 1 species
UACGUAGGGUGCAAGCGUUGUCCGGAAUUAUUGGGCGUAAAGAGCGUGUAGGCGGCCAUACAGGUCAGCUGUGAAAACUCGAGGCUCAACCUCGAGACGUCGGUUGAAACCGUAUGGCUAGAGUCCGGAAGAGGAGAGUGGAAUUCCCGGUGUAGCGGUGAAAUGCGCAGAUAUCGGGAAGAACACCUAUGGCGAAGGCAGCUCUCUGGGACGGUACUGACGCUGAGACGCGAAAGCGUGGGGAGCGAACAGG